CAGUGGGGCUCCAGGGAUGUGGAGAUGCAGGGGCUGUGGGUCCAGGCAGGGUGUGGCCUGGUGAGGGCUAGGUUCUUACAGUGACACCCUGUUGUAGCUGCCUAGGGCAGGGGUGAGGUGGGACCUGGCAUGAGUUCCCCUCUGGAGCAAAGCCAUUGCGUGGUCUCUAGGCAGCUCCCUAUGUAGGUCUUUGGGCCUGUGAGUGUCUAGGGGCAUCCCUGUGACUAGGAUUUGGGAGUCCGUGGUGGAAGUGUGGACCCCUGGGGGGUCCCUUUCACUCACUCCUUCCCUGCACUGGGAGCCUCUCCAGGAUCCCAGCUGACCCCUGCCAAGCAGGCUGCCUUGCUUUCCUCUCCUUCCUGGCUUUAGGUGUUUCUUGUCACUGUUGAACUCUCGUGUUCUCUUGGAUCAUCUGUUCAAAGUGUGACCAUCUACUUGCUAUUUUGGGUUUUCGUCGUGGAGGGGGUGAGUACCAGAAGCUGUAGUCAGCUGUGCUGAAGCCCCUCUGAGAACCCAAUGUUUUUGACUCCUUAUUAAUUUUGACAACAAAACUUUCUUUUGCUAACUUUAUACUGAUCCUUACUUAUAUCACUUUCUUGGAUUUGUUUUUUUUUCUCUUCCUGCCAGAGUAAACCCUUUAAGAAUUUUCUCAAACAGUGCUUUGUGGAACAAAUUCUUUGAAACCAUCUAUAUGAGCCCAGAGCUAUUACUUUUUUUGUGUUAAAUAAUAAUCUAACUAGAUGCACUGUUUUAAGUUAAAAUGCUUUUCUUCAAAAAUAUUUCAGUUAUGAUCCAUAGUUUGCUUGCAUUGUUAUCAAAAAGCCUGACAGAAUCUUAUUUUUAUUCUUUUGUAGAUGUUGUGGUCUGAACUGAACUGGGUCCUCUAAGAGGAUGUUGAAAUCUGAAAGCCCUUGGAAUGAGGCAUUUAGCUGGUUUGCCAGCACAGCACAGCCUUAAGAUGAGAAGGCCUCCUACCAUUCAUUCCUGGAGAAAAAUGACGUUGACUCUCCCCUGCCCCUUGUUUAGAGAAUAAAAUCUAACUAUGCUUUUUUUCUCUCAAGAAACAUUUUUUUUUCUCAAGAAAGAAUAA
rnacentral:lncRNA from 1 species